rnacentral:rRNA from 1 species
CCUACGGGUGGCAGCAGUGAGGAAUAUUGGUCAAUGGGCGAGAGCCUGAACCAGCCAAGUCGCGUGAGGGAAGACGGUACUAUGGAUUGUAAACCUCUUUUGUAGGGGAGCAAAAGACGCAACGCGUUGCGUUCCGAGAGUACCCGAUGAAAAAGCAUCGGCUAACUCCGUGCCAGCAGCCGCGGUAAUACGGAGGAUGCGAGCGUUAUCCGGAUUGAUUGGGUUUAAAGGGUGCGCAGGCGGAAGAUCAAGUCAGCGGUAAAAUUUAUAGGCUCAACCUCGUCGAGCCGUUGAAACUGGUUGUCUUGAGUGAGUGAGAAGUAUGCGGAAUGCGUGGUGUAGCGGUGAAAUGCAUAGAUAUCACGCAGAACUCCGAUUGCGAAGGCAGCAUACCGGCGCUCAACUGACGCUCAUGCACGAAAGUGUGGGGAUCGAACAGGAUUAGAUACCCGUGUAGUC